GAUUAACGCUGGCGGCGUGCAUAACACAUGCAAGUCGAACGAUGAAACUUUAAUGAACCCUUCGGGGAGAAUUAAAGCGGAUUAGUGGCGAACGGGUGAGUAACGCGUGAGUAACCUGCCUUACACAAGGGGAUAGCCUUUGGAAACGAAGAAUAAUACCCUAUAAAACCAUAAAAGCACAUGCAAUUAUGGUCAAAGUGAUAGCGGUGUAAGAUGGACUUGCGUCUGAUUAGCUAGUUGGUGAGAUAAAAGCCCACCAAGGCAACGAUCAGUAGCCGGCUUGAGAGAGUGUACGGCCACAUUGGGACUGGGACAAGGCCCAGACUCCUACGGGAGGCAGCAGUGGGGAAAUUUUCACAAUGGGGGAAACCCUGAUGCAGCGACGCCGCGUGAUUUAGAAGGCCUUCGGGUUGUAAAAAUCUUUUGUAUAGGAAGAAAAUGACAGUACUAUACGAAUAAGGUCCGGCUAAUUACGUG
rnacentral:rRNA from 1 species